GUAGGUGAUAUGUUUGAAAACAAUGAACGAGUAGAUAAGUCAUGAGAAACAACGGGGUGGCUUGAACCGGUAACAUGGAAGAAGAAGAAAAGAACUCAAAAGUCGUUCACCAAUAAUCCGAUUCGGAUGGUAGAAAGGCGAAAGUGAUCAAGUCUUGGAAGCGGGUCAACUAUGGAAAGAUUUAGUGAUGAUUUGUUCACUAAGUAUAUGGGUUUUCUUAUCGGGUCAAAUUGACCUAGUUAUUUACAUUUUGGAGUUUAACUUCAAUGUUUGUUUUCGCUAAGCGCUAGUAUGUCAAUGUAGUAGUUGUUUAUGUUUA